rnacentral:rRNA from 1 species
AUUGAACGCUGGCGGCAGGCCUAACACAUGCAAGUCGAACGAGUGGCGGACGGGUGAGUAAUGUCUGGGAAACUGCCUGAUGGCGGGGGAUCACUACUGAAAACGGUAGCUAAUACCGCAUACACUCAGAUGUGCCCAGAUGGGAUUAGCUUGUGGGUGGGGUACCGGCUCACCAGGGCAACGAACCCUAGCUGGUCGGAGAGGAUGACCAGCCACCCGGGAACGUAGACACGGUCCAGGCUCCUACGAGAGGAAGCAGGGGGGAAUAUUGCACAAUGGGCGCAAGCCUGGUGCAGCCAUGCCGCGUGUAUGAAGGAGGCCUUCGGGUUGUAAAGUACUUGCAGCGGGGAGGCGUUACUCGCAGAAGAAGCACCGGCUAACUCCGUGCCAGCAGCCGCGGUAAUAC